GUUAUCAGUAUAGAUAUGUUUGCCUCAUUUCAGGUAAAGGUUACAUAAUAUUCCCUAGUACAGACAGGCUGUGUUUAAAUGAUAUACUCCAUUAUUGAAGGAUAUUUAGCUAGCUUUCCAACAGAAACUCUUCAGAUACCUGAAAAACAGUAUCUACAAGAAACAACCUUAGCCAGCAUGCGGACACAUGGACACUUCAGUUGCUGAAACACCGGAAUGCUUCCCGAUCCAUCGGUUGGUAGCAGGCCCCCAAUAUUCAUAUUUGACGACAAUAUGGUCCUCAACUUGGUACACACAUCCCAUAAAAGUUCAAAUACAAAACACACAUGCAAAAAGUGGUGGCUUUCGUGCACCCCAGGAAUCACUAAUGAAAAUGCAGUAUGAAAAACCACAAAGUGAGAAUUGGAGCUGAUUAUCUCUACUCUACCCCUCUGUGCAGACACUGUUCUGAAAGGUUUACUCAAGCAUUAAUUCACUUACUAUUCGCAGCAACCCAAGGAGGAUGUUCCAUUAUUAUCUCCACUUCACAAACCGGCCCAUAGUCACAUCUCUACUGAGUGGGAGAGCCAGCAAGGUUGCCCAGACAGCCUGGCUCCUGCAGAUCUGUCUUCUGCAUUGAAAACAUCAUAUUUACAGCAGCUACCAUAUUCUGAGGCAUGUUCCUAAUGCCAAAUGUGUAAGACGGAGGAAAUCACAUUCACUUAAAGGCAUUAUUUACUGGUGUUUGACUAACCUCUCCCAAAUCCACCCUUGGAUGACACCCACAAAGCCCUAGACCAGACUAAUUCUAGCCCCUGCGAGGCAGGACACCGCAAUGUCCUCCAGUCACAGUGGGCCUCCAAGCCUAUGCUACAUUAUUUCUCAGGCACCCAGGUGUGUGGUUGGAAUAUUAACCCUCAAUACUGUGCAGAACUACCUCUCAGUUCCCCAAUAGGAAGAACACCUAUUCAGGCAUGAAGAGCAAAGUGACGUCUUAGAGCUCUCCCUCCUUACUUAAAUAUUAAAUCAAAAGCAAGACCAUGGAUAAGCAAUCUGUGGUAUAUUUUAAAAAUGGAAUAUUGCUCUAUAAUGAAAAGAAACAAAUUACUAAUGCGUGCAACAAAUGGGUGAAUCUUAACAGUAGUGUGCUGGGUGAGGGAAGCAGACACGAGUGCCUACUGUGCGCUUCCCUCACGAAGCCCGAGAACAGACAGAGCCACCUCAUGGAGACAGAAACCUGAAUACUGUGCGUCGCGUGGGAAAGGGCAGGCGAGUGCUUCCUGGCGUGGCAGAAACGUUCCCCAGCUUGACUGGAGCACAGGUCAUGUGGUUGAACACACUGUUCAAACUCAUCAAACUGUGCUUAAUAUCAGUGUAUUUUGUAGUGUAAAUUUCUAUUCAAGUGACGUCAAUUUUUCUGGUAUUUCAGAAAUUUGCACACCACAAUGACUGAACGCUGCCAGUGGGGAUUCCCGUCACCGGCCUGGCCCCAGUGUAUCUUCAAGAAUGACUCGUCUGGCACAGCGGGAGCAGGUGGUGGAUACGAGGGCCACUUUCCUCCAGUCUGGGAUUCUUACUGGACAAAUUAACACAGUACAAUCCCUGGUUUGAGGCUUGUACCUAAGAAUCUAACAAAUUGCUUUUUCUAUCCCAAUUAAGAGAAAGCACUAGAAACUAUUCCUUUUCUCAGCAGAGUCAUGGUGCAGACUGCAGCUUUGUCUCAGGCUAUGACACUCCGGCUUACUGUCAGGACUCAAACCAAACAGGACGCCUGGUCAGGCUGCCCUCUCCUCAACUUCCUCUCUCAGCAUCGAAAUCGCAGCGCGCCUCUCCCACCCUCAGGGGCCCACUGCCCAAUGACACCUGCCCAGCCUCCUCCUGGUGGCUAAGGGGCACCGCCUCAGCACCCCCAGGUCUGCCCCUCUUUGGGCAGGUCUCUGCCUCCUCCUCUGCCCCACACCCACCUGCUCCAUCCCCGCCCCACCCCAGUUCCCGUGUGGCAGAUGCUGUCCUGCAGCUCAGAGCCCAGCUCACCCUGAAAAUCUCCAAGGCCCAGCCAGGGGUCUGGCCCAGGCUUGCAGCCCACCCAGAGGAGCCCAGGGGACCUCUCGCCUCUGCCUGAGCCAUGCAGGCUUCAUCUUCCGUGGAUGAAGAGCUCAGCCUGGCCAGAGCCUCCCCAUGCUCCGCACUAAGACGUGCUUCUGAGACACCAUCCGGCAGGACAGGCUUUCAGUUGCCAAGGGCCCCACAGGCUGUCCCUGCUUCUGGAACUCUCUUCCCCUGGCCGGCCCCUCGUCCUUCAGCAGGAGGAAAACACUCUUUCACACAAGCCCUCCUUAUCUACCAGCCUGGGCUGCACCCGCAAAGGGUCUGUGUUUCGGGUUCCAGUGUGUGGCGGCGUGUGGUGGUGUGUGGCGGCAUGUGGUGAUGUGUGGCAGCAUGUCACAGUGCUCCAAGCUGUGAGUCGGGUGCCUUCCCUGGUGCUGCUCUCUCAGAAAGCUCUUCCUGCAUUUCCUGCAGUCCAGGAAGUUCUCAUCGGGACUGGCAGGGAGUUUGGAAUUUUGAGUUUUUAAGAAUCAGUUAGACACUUAUGCAGCCAAAAGACAUAUGAAAAAAUGCUCAUCAUCACUGGCCAUCAGAGAAAUGCAAAUCAAAACCACAAUGAG
rnacentral:lncRNA from 10 species